UACGUAGGGGGCUAGCGUUGUCCGGAACCAUUGGGCGUAAAGGGUGCGUAGGCGGCGCGGUAAGUCGGGUGUGAAAUCUCGGGGCUUAACUCCGAAACUGCAUUCGAUACUGCCGUGCUUGAGGACUGGAGAGGAGACUGGAAUUUACGGUGUAGCGGUGAAAUGCGUAGAUAUCGUAAGGAAGACCAGUGGCGAAGGCGGGUCUCUGGACAGUUCCUGACGCUGAGGCACGAAGGCCAGGGGAGCAAACGGG
rnacentral:rRNA from 1 species